UACUCCUACGGGAGGCAGCAGUGGGGAAUAUUGGACAAUGGGGGGAACCCUGAUCCAGCCAUGCCGCGUGUGUGAAGAAGGCCUUAUGGUUGUAAAGCACUUUAAGCGAGGAGGAGGCUACUGAGACUAAUACUCUUGGAUAGUGGACGUUACUCGCAGAAUAAGCACCGGCUAACUCUGUGCCAGCAGCCGCGGUAAUACAGAGGGUGCGAGCGUUAAUCGGAUUUACUGGGCGUAAAGCGUGCGUAGGCGGCUUUUUAAGUCGGAUGUGAAAUCCCCGAGCUUAACUUGGGAAUUGCAUUCGAUACUGGGAAGCUAGAGUAUGGGAGAGGAUGGUAGAAUUCCAGGUGUAGCGGUGAAAUGCGUAGAGAUCUGGAGGAAUACCGAUGGCGAAGGCAGCCAUCUGGCCUAAUACUGACGCUGAGGUACGAAAGCAUGGGAAGCAAACAGGAUUAGAUACCCUGGUAGUCCAUGCCGUAAACGAUGUCUACUAGCCGUUGGGGCCUUUGAGGCUUUAGUGGCGCAGCUAACGCGAUAAGUAGACCGCCUGGGGAGUACGGUCGCAAGACUAAAACUCAAAUGAAUUGACGGGGGCCCCCACAAGCGGUGGAGCAUGUGGA
rnacentral:rRNA from 1 species